GCUCGUCGCCCCCUCGCCCCCUCUUGCGGGCGGGGACCUCGCGUUUCCUGCCUGCAAACCGAACCCCGGCGCGGAACGCGCCAAGGAAAUCUAACCAAGAGAGCCAUGCCGGAGGCCCCGGACACGGUGCGCCCCCGGCGUCGGCGUCUUAUGAAUUAUUCAAAACGACUCUCGGCAACGGAUAUCUAGGCUCUCGCAUCGAUGAAGAACGUAGCGAAAUGCGAUACUUGGUGUGAAUUGCAGAAUCCCGCGAAUCAUCGAGUUUUUGAACGCAAGUUGCGCCCGAAGCCAUUCGGCCGAGGGCACGUCUGCCUGGGUGUCACGCAUCGUUGCCCCCCCAAACUCCGGUUCGGGCGGGGCGGAAGUUGGCCUCCCGUGCGUGCCUGCGCGCGCGGUUAGCCCAAAAGCGAGUCCUCGGCGACGAGCGCCACGACAAUCGGUGGUUUUUUUACCCUCGUUCCUCGUCGUGCGUGCCCCGUCGCCCGAACGCGCUCUUGCGACCCUCACGCGUCGCCUCGGCGGCGCUCCCAACGCGACCCCA
rnacentral:rRNA from 1 species